UGGUGGAGUGGUUUGUCUGGUUAAUUCCGUUAACGAACGAGACCUUAACCUGCUAAAUAGUUACGCUAACUCUGGUUGGCGCUUAACUUCUUAGAGGGACUAUGGAUUUUUAAUCCAUGGAAGUUUGAUGCAAUAACA
rnacentral:rRNA from 1 species